CUCUUCCUCACCAACAGCCUGAUCAAGCAAAGCAGAGGGAGGCUGAAACCCUGACGAGCAAGCAGCAGCUCCUGCCUACCCUUCAAGCAGUAUCAAGACCAGGAGGAAUCCAUGAAAUGCCCUUGGGGUUGGACCAGUGCCACCUUCCAUGAAAAGCCCCUGGAAAACUCACUGUGGCUCAACAGGGGAAGACCAAAUCUUCCUAAUGAGGAGGAAAGAGAGAGAACUCUUGGCAAAGCUGUUGCUUGUUUCAGGAGGGCUCACACUGGGCAUCAAGGUGAGCUUUGGUACUGGCACAGUCUGCUCAGGGUCCUUGGCUCAGCAUCGCUGCUGGACAGCACAGAAUGACCACAUGUUAUUGCACAUGUAACCCAGACACCCAGCAUUCCUUUCUCCUGUGCUCCACAGUCACACUGAUUCCUCUAAUGGAGGUAGAAAGGUAAUUAAUGUCUGCACAAGUAAAAUGAAUAAACACGUAUUUCUAAUUGCAUUUUUUUGUAUUUAUUCACAUUUC
rnacentral:lncRNA from 1 species